GAAGCAAUACAUUUCGAUUUAAAAAACAAAAAACAAAAAACAAAAAAUCCCAACCUCCCCCCCCCCCCCAAAAAAAAAAAAAAACAAACUAUGGCCUAUAGAAAAUAGUAGAAGGUGGGACAUCCGGGAGGCAGAAAGAAUUCUGGGAUACCGACAGACACGGGAGAUUCACUUGGGAAGAUGUGACGUACUCACGGUACCUGCGCAUACGUAACCAGCCACGUGGCAGAAUGUAGUUUAGAGAGAAGGAAAGCAUCUGACCAAGGAAUCCAGAGACCGCUGGACAAGAGAACCAUCUGAGGAACAAUACUGCUAAGUUUAUUAACUGUGCUGCAUGUUAACUAUCAGAUAGGCAAUGCAGAAUGCAAAUACCUUUUGUCAGAGGAUAUAAGUCAAAUAAACACACAAGUCAUAGAGACCAUGUGAUACUGUUUUACAAUAUGCUUGAGGGUAUGCUUGGGAUCUAAGGUUGAAAAUUUAAAUAAAGUUGAAUAUGGGAAGGAAUGUUAAAUCAAGAGGAAAAGAGGACAGAUAGAUCAACCCCCAUAAAAAGUAAAUCUCAGGAAAAAAAGGAAGAAAGAUAAAAAUUGACAUAAAUGUUUUCAAGGGUUCAUAGAUACUAAAUAAAUAAAUUCAUGACUUGAAUCCAAUACUGGGAAAACAAAGACAGAGAUGGAUAGGUUCCUUGUGAGUUCAAGGCCAACUUGAUCUACGGAACAAAUCCAGGACCUCCUGGGCUACACAGAGAAACUCUGCCUCAAUAAAUAAUAAUAAAUAUAUUUCAUUUUAGAGGAUAUUUAGACCUCAUACAAUAUCGAUUUGAAUUAUCAAAAUGGAAAUGGUUAUUUUGUCAAUGGUAAUGGUGAUAUUGUACUUCCUCUUCGAGAGAGGUUAAAAUGGAGCAGAGAGAUUGGAUCAGAAUUCUUAUAAUAACUUCAAACCACUGGACAAAAACAAAUAAGUGGGAAGAGAGACUUUUUGUUUGGGUCAACAGAAAAGGGAAAAAAAGGCUUUGGGUUCCAUCCAAAAUAAUAAGAAUCAGAUUUGAUAGAGGGAGACCUUCUGAAGAUUUCGGCUACAGGAAGGAGGAGAAAGAACACAGAGCUGGAGAAAGAACACAGGAGCUGCCAUGACCCCCUGAGAGGAAAUGGACAAGUAUUUGGGGUGGC
ensembl:lncRNA